GAUGAACGCUAGCUACAGGCUUAACACAUGCAAGUCGAGGGGAAACGACAUCGAAAGCUUGCUUUUGAUUGGCGUCGACCGGCGCACGGGUGAGUAACGCGUAUCCAACCUGCCCACCACUUGGGGAUAACCUUGCGAAAGUAAGACUAAUACCCAAUGAUAUCCCUAGAAGACAUCUGAAAGAGAUUAAAGAUUUAUCGGUUAUGGAAGGGGAUGCGUCUGAUUAGCUUGUUUGCGGGGUAACGGCCCACCAAGGCUACGAUCAGUAGGGGUUCUGAGAGGAAGGUCCCCCACAUUGGAACUGAGACGCGGUCCAAACUCCUACGGGAGGCAGCAGUGAGGAAUAUUGGUCAAUGGGCGAGAGCCUGAACCAGCCAAGUAGCGUGCAGGAUGACGGCCCUAUGGGUUGUAAACUGCUUUUAUAAGGGAAUAAAGUGAGCCUCGUGAGGCUUUUUGCAUGUACCUUAUGAAUAAGGACCGGCUAAUUCCGUGCCAGCAGCCGCAGUAA
rnacentral:rRNA from 1 species